rnacentral:rRNA from 1 species
UCAGUAACACGUUAGUCAACAUGCCCAGGGGACGUGGAUAACCUCGGGAAACUGAGGAUAAACCGCGAUAAGUCACUACUUCUGGAAUGGGUAAUGACUUAAAUCUAUAUGGCCCCUGGAUUGGACUGCGGCCGAUCAGGCUGUUGGUGAGGUAAUGGCCCACCAAACCUGUAACCGGUACGGGCUCUGAGAGGAGGAGCCCGGAGAUGGGCACUGAGACAAGGGCCCAGGCCCUAUGGGGCGCAGCAGGCGCGAAACCUCUGCAAUAGGCGAAAGCCUGACAGGGUUACUCUGAGUGAUUUCCGUUAAGGAGAUCUUUUGGCACCUCUAAAAAUGGUGCAGAAUAAGGGGUGGGCAAGUCUGGUGCCAGC